GAAGGAAAUGAGAAAAACGCCAAGCAUAGAGCUAGCAGUAGAAAUGAAAAAUGGAAGGCUCCUGAGAGGUGGGGCAGUGAGCAAGUGUUCUGCAUGGUUCUUGGUUGCUGGUUGGGGUUAAAACAAGACAGAUGUCAAGACAUCAAACUAAGGAGAAUAAGUGAGCGGAUCACAUCUGGACUCCAAUGCUACUACAGGAAAAUGCAGAUUUUCCAUAGAUCUGGUGUCUUGUUGGU